GCUGGCGGCAGGCCUAACACAUGCAAGUCGAACGCUCGUAGCAAUACGAGAGUGGCAGACGGGUGAGUAACACGUGGGAACCUUCCCUAUGGUUCGGAAUAGCCCAGGGAAACUUGGGGUAAUACCGGAUAAGCCCUUACGGGGAAAGAUUUAUCGCCAUUGGAUGGGCCCGCGUCGGAUUAGCUAGUUGGUGGGGUAACGGCUCACCAAGGCGACGAUCCGUAGCUGGUCUGAGAGGAUGAUCAGCCACACUGGGACUGAGACACGGCCCAGACUCCUACGGGAGGCAGCAGUGGGGAAUAUUGGACAAUGGGCGCAAGCCUGAUCCAGCCAUGCCGCGUGAGUGACGAAGGCCUUAGGGUUGUAAAGCUCUUUUGGCGGGGAAGAUAAUGACGGUACCCGCAGAAUAAGCUCCGGCUAACUUCGUGCCAGCAGCCCGCGGUAAUACGAAGGGAGCUAGCGUUGUUCGGAAUCACUGGGCGUAAAGCGCACGUAGGCGGAUGUGUCAGUCAGGGGGUGAAAUCCC
rnacentral:rRNA from 1 species